rnacentral:rRNA from 1 species
UAAGGCUCGUAGUUGGAUUUCGGAAGGUCCUUAGUAGUCCGCCCCUUCGGGGAGCGGGCUACUGGCCUCCUAUGUUCCUAACGGUCCUCAUCCGCGAGGGUGGGGAAUCAACCGCUAGGAUCGUUUACUUUGAGGAAAUUAGAGUGUUCAAAGCAGGCGUAACUCGCCUCCGAAUACGUUAGCAUGGGAUAAUGGAAUACGACUUCGGUCUUGUUUCGUUGGUUUCGCUUGGCUGAAGUAAUGAUUGAUAGGGACAGUUGGGGGCAUUAGUAUUUAGUUGUCAGAGGUGAAAUUCUAGGAUUUACUAAAGACUGACCAAUGCGAAAGCAUUUGCCAAGGAUGUUUUCAUUAAUCAAGAACGAAAGUAGGGGGAUCGAAGACGAUCAGAUACCGUCGUAGUCUCUACCGUAAACUAUGCCGACCAGGGAUCCGGAGAGUUUGCAUGGAUGACUCCCCGGGCACCUUGUGAGAAAUCAUAAGUGUUUGGGUUUUGGGGGGAGUAUGGUCGCAAGGCUGAAACUUAAAGGAAUUGACGGAAGGGCACCACCAGGAGUGGAACCUGCGGCUUAAUUUGACUCAACACGGGGAAACUUACGAGGUCAGGACACUGUGAGGAUUGACAGUGUUUUUCCUCUUCUUUAAACUAA